CACACACUCCGUGUGAGUGUGUGAGAGUCGAUUUCCACAGAUCAAUAAGGCGGCGUGUCCGUGUUGUUCACUCUCGCCCUCGACGACAUCCUCCGACUGCACCGGGCGCUUUCUCAAGCUCUCCGUUCGCCCCGGCAUCGGCGCGGGGUUUUAACAGUCGACUGAGCGCUGUGAGUGACAAGAGAAGGGAGCCUUCUCAUCCGACCCCGCGAAUGCCAGAGACGCCCACCGCUGCGAGAGGCGGCAAUCACGCGGAUGCCCCGCUGACACCGUGCCCACACUGGACGCCGAUUGAAGACGAGCUUCAUAGCUCAUCGGAUUCCGACUCCAGGCUAAAUGAAGAUCACGAUUUAACUCUCCACCAGGUCAAUAUCGCAAACACACGCAAAGAUCCGCUCUGUAUCCGAACAGAUUAGCAGGGUGAGUGCUGCUAGCGAGCAUCUAUGGAGGCCGGAACGGCACAAAGGUGGUUGGCCAGCACCACGCCCGGCCG